rnacentral:rRNA from 1 species
GAUGAACGCUAGCGGCAGGCUUAAUACAUGCAAGUCGAGGGGCAGCACAGGUAGCAAUACUGGGUGGCGACCGGCAAACGGGUGCGGAACACGUACACAACUUACCUUAAGGUGGGGGAUAGCCCAGGGAAACUUGGAUUAAUACCCCAUAAUACAGGGGGCCCGCAUGGGUCUAUUGUUAAAGAUUUAUUGCCUUAAGAUGGGUGUGCGUCUGAUUAGGUAGUUGGUGAGGUAAAGGCCCACCAAGCCAACGAUCAGUAACUGGUGUGAGAGCACGAACAGUCACAGGGGAACUGGGACACGGGCCCGACUCCUACGGGAGGCAGCAGUAAGGAACAUUGGUCAAUGGACGGAAGUUUGAACCAGCCAUGCCGCGUGAAGGAUGAAGGUCCUCUGGAUUGUAAACUUCUUUUAUAGGGGGCGAAAAAGGGCCUUUUGAGGUCAACUGACGGUACCCUAUGAAUAAGCACCGGCUAACUCCGUGCCAGCAGCCGCAGUAAUAC